rnacentral:tRNA from 1 species
AGCUUUCUAGUUUAUUAAAAAAAUUCUUAUUUUGAAAAUAAGAGAAAGUUCCUAGUUUGACUGUUAGCUU